AUUGAACGCUGGCGGCAGGCCUAACACAUGCAAGUCGAGCGAGCGGCGGACGGGAGUGUAAUGUCUGGAAAUUGCCCAGUCGAGGGGGAUAACAGUUGGAAACGACUGCUAAUACCGCAAACGAUUGGAUUCCACAGGUGGGUUUAGCUAGUGGGUGGGGUAAGGGCUCACCAAGGCGACGAUCCCUAGCUGGUCUGAGAGGAUGAUCAGCCACAGUGGAACUGAGACACGGUCCAGACUCCUACGGGAGGCAGCAGUGGGGAAUAUUGCACAAUGGGGGAAACCCUGAGAGAGCAAUGCCGCGUGUGUGAAGAAGGCCUUCGGGUUGUAAAGCACUUUCAGCGAGGAGGCGUUACUCGCAGAAGAAGCACCGGCUAAAUCAGUGCCAGCAGGCGCGGUAAUUC
rnacentral:rRNA from 1 species